rnacentral:tRNA from 1 species
GUAGUAUCUGAUUUGGGUAGGCGACUGUUAAUCGCUUUGUCGCAGGUUCGAGUCCUGCUCGGGGAGCCA